GUUAGGGUGGCAGAGCCCGGUAAUUGCAAAAGACCUAAGCCCUUUAAAUGGAGGUUCAAAUCCUCCCCCUAACU
rnacentral:tRNA from 1 species